rnacentral:lncRNA from 1 species
UCCAUUAAGAGGUGACAGUGUAUAAAUGUGAGUAAUCAAAGCAAAGAAAAGCUCCAGUUAGACAACAGAAUGAGGAGGAGAAACACUGGAGACAAACACCAACCCCUCAGGAAAUCUACCCAAACAAAAGCAAAACCGAGGCCAAGACAAGUGACAGCUGCUGCUUUCGGUUAAAGGUGGUUUUGAAUGUUCUUGCCAACAAUAUCAAAGCCAAGAGUGUUCUCACUCCAAUUUUUUUGAUCCAGGAGAGGGGAUUACACCAGUUCAGCUGUCUUCAUACCCUGCAGUAUUGGAGAAAGUAUCUUGUUCCAGAAGCCUUUGGACUUGUAUCAACAUAUGCUCAUCCUCCACCACGGGCGGUUCGACGCUGCCAUAGAAUCCAUGCUCUAACCUCAGAGCCAGAGCAAAGUGGACCUAAGGACUCUAGUAUAUGGUGGAAACAGGCCUUUCCUGUGCAUUCCCCAAAAUAUUUUCACACUGCAAGCCAAAUAAUAUGACACGUCUCCUACUAAAUUCAGGUACCAAUCCACUUACAAGGAGGGAAAAAAACAACUCAAAAUACCCCCAAAAGAAACUACGACUCACAACAGUGAAGUCUAUUGAACAAACAGCAGCUCAAACCGAAACAGAAUUCAGUGAGUCCCUUCUAAAUUAAUCUCCAGUUAGAAGAAAAGAAUAAUUGCUCCAGGCUUCACAAAAAGAAAAUAUCAUAAAAAUUGACAUGUUCACAGAUGGUCCCUUAAAAAGAAUUUCUAUCUGCAUCAACCAACUGCUGCAAAAAGGAGGGGAAGAGGCAGUCUGCAGAGAGAUAUGGUGAAUGGGGAUGGCAAGAGAUCACCUAAUCAAACCAGAAGGUACCUUAAAUAGAAAAAAAGCUGAAGUCCCAGACAGGCUGAUGCGCUCAGGCUUGUAUUUGAGGGAUGGGGGAAAGAAAAGGAUCAAUUAUGCUACUCAGGGCUUCCUAGUGAAUGUUUGGAUUUUUCUUUUUUUUAAUUAAUGAAGCUACUGAGGAGCAGCAUUUGUUCAGAUCUCCAGGGACUAGGAGUGUAAGAGAAUAGGGCUAUAGAACUUCAGAAAGCCAGAAAAAUGGGGUACACUUAAACCUGAAGUCCCAGCCCUAGCUCUUCUAUACUGGCUGUUAGUUUAGGUCACUCCUUAUGGGGACUGCUAUCUUGGUAUACUUUAUGUCCUUGAUGUAAUCAUCUGAGGAAUGGAGACAAUAUGCUGGAGAGCCCUGUAACAUCAGCCAAAAAGGAAAACAAACUGGAAGCUAAGGAGAUUUCAGAAAUGUGGUUUUGCCAAUUUCAUCUACUUCACCCAACUGGCAAAGCUAAAAUGGUUUCUGUCUCUGAUCUGAAGCUGUUGGGCAUGCACAGUCACUUUGUAUCUUGGUAAAUAAAGAAUUUAAGAUGGAAAAAUCA